rnacentral:rRNA from 1 species
UGAACGCGAAGAACCUUACCAGGUCUUGACAUCCUUUGAAGCUUUUAGAGAUAGAAGUGUUCUCUUCGGAGACAAAGUGACAGGUGGUGCAUGGUCGUCGUCAGCUCGUGUCGUGAGAUGUUGGGUUAAGUCCCGCAACGAGCGCAACCCUUAUUGUUAGUUGCCAGCAUUCAGUUGGGCACUCUAGCGAGACUGCCGGUGACAAACCGGAGGAAGGCGGGGACGACGUCAGAUCAUCAUGCCCCUUAUGACCUGGGCUACACACGUGCUACAAUGGCGUAUACAACGAGUUGCCAACCUGCGAAGGUGAGCUAAUCUCUUAAAGUACGUCUCAGUUCGGACUGCAGUCUGCAACUCGACUGCACGAAGUCGGAAUCGCUAGUAAUCGCGGAUCAGCACGCCGCGGUGAAUACGUUCCCGGGUCUUGUACACACCG